UGUCCGUCUGACAUUUUAUUGAAUGAAGAAUGUAAAAGGACUAUUUUCAUAAUUCCAUGAUACAGCUAAAAGCUCUGAAAGAUAUUUUAGAACAAAAGAACCCUGGCCCUGGGCAACAAAUUAAAGACUUCCAAGGUUGUGGAGAAAUUAUUUUUUAACUAUAAGAAGCAAGGUUUACUCUUAGAUAACCCACAGACUCAACACAUUUCACCAUCAAACUAAACAGACA